GUGCUCACUUCAACAGCACAUAUACUAAAAUUAGAAUGGCACAGAGAAGAUUAGGAUGGCCCCCUCACAAAGACUAAAGGCAAUAACAAAGACUAAAGAAACUAAUAU